rnacentral:rRNA from 1 species
UACGUAGGGUGCAAGCGUUAAUCGGAAUUACUGGGCGUAAAGCGUGCGCAGGCGGUUGCGCAAGACAGAUGUGAAAUCCCCGGGCUUAACCUGGGAAUUGCAUUUGUGACUGUACGGCUAGAGUGUGUCAGAGGGGGGUAGAAUUCCACGUGUAGCAGUGAAAUGCGUAGAGAUGUGGAGGAAUACCGAUGGCGAAGGCAGCCCCCUGGGAUAACACUGACGCUCAUGCACGAAAGCGUGGGGAGCAAACAGG